rnacentral:rRNA from 1 species
AUUGAACGCUCGCGGCAGGCCUAACACAUGCAAGUCGAGCGGAGCGGCGGACGGGUGAGUAAUGCCUGGGAAUCCGCCCGGUAGUGGGGGAUAACGUCUGGAAACGGGCGCUAAUCACCCCUACCUCUCGAUCAGCCUAGGUCGGCUUAGCUAGUUGGUGGGGUAAAGGCCUACCAAGGCGACGAUCCGUAACUGGUCUGAGAGGAUGAUCAGUCACACUGGAACUGAGACACGGUCCAGACUCCUACGAGAGGCAGCAGUGGGGAAUAUUGGACAAUGGGCGAAAGCCUGAUCCAGCCAUGCCGCGUGUGUGAAGAAGGUCUUCGGAUUGUAAAGCACUUUGAGUUGGGAGGCGUUACCAACAGAAUAAGCACCGGCUAACUUCGUGCCAGCAGCCGCGGUAAUAC